rnacentral:hammerhead_ribozyme from 1 species
GUCAAGCUGACGAAUCCCAAAUGGAACGAAACGUGAGUCCUGGAU